GACGAACGCUGGCGGCGUGCUUAACACAUGCAAGUCGAACGGUAAGGCCUUCGGGUACACGAGUGGCGAACGGGUGAGUAACACGUGGGUGAUCUGCCCCCUACUCUGGGAUAAGCCUGGGAAACUGGGUCUAAUACUGGAUAUGACCAACUUCUGCAUGGUUGUUGGUGGAAAGUUUUUUCGGUAGGGGAUGAGCCCGCGGCCUAUCAGCUUGUUGGUGGGGUAAUGGCCUACCAAGGCGACGACGGGUAGCCGGCCUGAGAGGGCGACCGGCCACACUGGGACGGAGACACGGCCCAGACUCCUACGGGAGGCAGCAGUGGGGAAUAUUGCACAAUGGACGAAAGCCUGAUGCAGCGACGCCGCGUGGGGGAUGACGGCCUUCGGGUUGUAAACCCCUUUCAGUCGGGACGAAGCGAGAGUGACGGUACCGAUAGAAGAAGCACCGGCCAACUACGUGCCAGCCGCCGCCGUAAGAC
rnacentral:rRNA from 1 species